rnacentral:rRNA from 1 species
UACGGGGGGGGCAAGCGUUGUUCGGAAUUACUGGGCGUAAAGGCUCGUAGGUGGCCAACUAAGUCAGACGUGAAAGUCCCUCGGCUUAACCGGGGAACUGCGUCUGAUACUGGAUGGCUUGAGUGUGGGAGAGGGAUGCGGAAUUCCAGGUGUAGCGGUGAAAUGCGUAGAUAUCUGGAGGAACACCGGUGGCGAAGGCGGCAUCCCUGGACCAUUACUGACACUGAAUAGCGAAAGCCAGGGGAGCAAACGGG